UAAAAUAAAAACUUAGGAUAACCUAAACCAAGGGCCUUCAAAGCCCUAAAUAAGGGAUAGACCCCCUUAGUUUUU
rnacentral:tRNA from 1 species